GAGUUUGAUCCUGGCUCAGAUUGAACGCUGGCGGUAGGCUUAACACAUGCAAGUCGUGCGAGAAAGUAUCUUCGGAUAUGAGUAGAGCGGCGGACGGGUGAGUAACGCGUAGGAAUCUACCUAGUAGAAGGGGAUAGCCCGGGGAAACCCGGAUUAAUACCGUAUACCUCCUUUGGGAGAAAGAAGGCCUCUCUUUAGAAGCUUUCGCUACUAGAUGAGCCCGCAUUUGAUUAGCUUGUUGGUGAGGUAAAAGCUCACCAAGGCUAUAAUCAAUAGCUGAUUUGAGAGGAUGAUCAGCCACACUGGGACUGAGAUACGGCCCAGACUCCUACGGGAGGCAGCAGUGGGGAAUCUUGCACAAUGGGCGAAAGCCUGAUGCAGCGAUGCCGCGUGAGUGAAGAAGGCCUUUGGGUUGUAAAGCUCUUUUGUCGGGAAAGAUAAUGACUGUACCCGAAGAAUAAGGUCCGGCUAACUUCGUGCCAGCAGCCGCGGUAAUACGAAGGGACCUAGCGUAGUUCGGAAUUACUGGGCGUAAAGAGUAUGUAGGCGGCUAGAUAAGUUAAUUGUGAAAGCCCAAAGCUUAACUUUGGAACUGCAAUUAAAACUAUUUAGCUGGAGUAUGAUAGAGGAAAGCGGAAUACAUAGUGUAGAGGUGAAAU
rnacentral:rRNA from 1 species